GCCGGGCGUGGUGGCGGGCGCCUGUAAUCCCAGCUACUGGGGAGGCUGAGGCAGGAGAAUCGCUUGAACUCGGGAGAUGGGGGCUGCAGUGAGCCGAGAUCGCGCCAUUGCACUCCAGCCUGGGCUACAGAGCGAGACUCUUGUCUCAA
ensembl:misc_RNA Metazoa_SRP Metazoan signal recognition particle RNA